CCCUUAGAUGUCCGGGGCUGCACGCGCGCUACACUGAAGGAAUCAGCGUGCUAAAACCAUUGUCGAAAGGCAUUGGUAAACCCAUUAAAAUCCUACGUGAUUGGGAUCGGGAAUUGCAAUUAUUUCCCUUGAACGAGGAAUUCCCAGUAAGUGUGGGUCAUAAGCUCGCGUUGAUUACGUCCCUGCCCUUUGUACACACCGCCCGUCGCUGCCCGGGACUGAGCCGUUUCGAGAAAAGCGGGGACUGCUGCUGUCGGGGCUUUCGGGCCUUGGCUUCGGUGGAAACCGCUUUAAUCGCAGUGGCUUGAACCGGGCAAAANUCGUAACA
rnacentral:rRNA from 1 species